UCCUCUAUGCUGUCAGCGAAGUUCACCCUGAAGUCUUGCUGCCUAUUGCAAGCAGUGUUACCAGAUACCUACUUUGCCCUUCCUUUGCUUGGAAUCAUGGGAAGAAUUUAUGGUGAAAGGUACAGAAAGAAAGACGUCUUUUCAUAGUUCUCCCAUUUCAUAUUCCAAAUUACACUUAAGGCAAACAUAGGAAUGCAGUCUCUAUUUCCUACUUCGAGUCUUGUUCACAGUGUCUUUGCAUCUCAAGCAUCUGCUCUCUAGUCCAAAGUGUCAACACCUUUGUGCUCAAACCUCAAGAUCUGGUUUGCAUCUGUAUCAUUCUUCCUUCCUAGCUUCUCUAUACUUCAAAGUACUCUGUCUUUUGGUUGGAGUACAUCCCCAAACUCGGCUAAGCUUCCUGAAACAAAACUGUAACAUCUGCUGUCUUGCCCUCUUCUAUUGACUUCUGGCGGUAGACCAGCAGUGGCGUAUGUACCAUCAUUGAUCAGAAGUGUUUUCUUUUUCUUUAAAUGAGCCUUUUUUUUUUUUUUUUUUUUUGCAUGUGAAUCUUUGCUUUUGUAUUCAAGCCCUCUCUUCCAUUCUACCAGUACGAUUUAAUAACUUACUAUCCUUCCUACCAACUUCAAAGAGUAUCUUUUUAUUCUUUAGCCAUCUCUCCCACUUUCUUAAAGGGUACAUAAAUUGUGGUGCAAUCACUUUCAUGUUCAGCUAUUGCAGUUGAGCUGGUUAUUAGUUACAUUGUUGUCCUUUUAAAAAGGGCUGGGUUGGUGCCCAGUGCGUUGGGGCUGAUAAGCACACUGAGUCAAGGUCUGCUGAACAACCUUUAUUUCAGAUCUGUCAGAACUGGGGGCCAGGCGAUAAUUCACAAAGCAAGUACACCCAGAGUUGGGUGCCAGGCCUUUUAUACAGUUUUAAAUGUAUGGAUAGAAUCACUCAGUGGUUGCUUUUGGUUCCACCACUUACUCUGUAACAUGCGUGCUCAAGUUCGGUACCAGCUUAUUAACCUGAGGCUGGUUGCUCAUUAUCAUGUCAGAUUGCCACCCAGGGGUGUGCAUUUUAUCAUGGUAAUGAAGCAUAGGCUACCUAGAGCAUUCUUGCCUUUUCUCUUGUGCUUAUAUUAGUACAUACUUAUGUAUGGACUCAUACAGUUAUGAGUCUGUCCUUGCAUUGUUUGAAAGUAACUUUUUGUCCUGGGCUGACAUAUGAUCUCAUGUUUUUAUGUUUAUAUCCUUACUGUUUCUAGUGUCGAUACCUUUCAAAGCUGAGGCAGAAAAGUAAAAACAACUUCUUUCAACAACUUAUUGUAAACAACUGAGUAUCUGCAAAAAUAAA